rnacentral:rRNA from 1 species
UACAGAGGGUGCAAGCGUUAAUCGGAAUUACUGGGCGUAAAGCGCGCGUAGGUGGAUUGUUAAGUUGGAUGUGAAAUCCCCGGGCUCAACCUGGGAACUGCAUCCAAAACUGGCAAGCUAGAGUAUGGCAGAGGGUAGUGGAAUUUCCUGUGUAGCGGUGAAAUGCGUAGAUAUAGGAAAGAACACCAGUGGCGAAGGCGACCGCCUGGGCUCAUACUGACACUGAGGUGCGAAAGCGUGGGGAGCAAACAGG